UGUAUAAGAAUUAUUUAGAGACCAGUUCCAC
rnacentral:piRNA from 1 species